UACGUAGGUCCCGAGCGUUGUCCGGAUUUAUUGGGCGUAAAGCGAGCGCAGGUGGUUUAUUAAGUCUGGUGUAAAAGGCAGAGGCUCAACCAUUGUAUGCAUUGGAAACUGGUAGACUUGAGUGCAGGAGAGGAGAGUGGAAUUCCAUGUGUAGCGGUGAAAUGCGUAGAUAUAUGGAGGAACACCGGUGGCGAAAGCGGCUCUCUGGCCUGUAACUGACACUGAGGCUCAAAAGCGUGGGGAGCAAACAGG
rnacentral:rRNA from 1 species